rnacentral:rRNA from 1 species
UACGUAGGGGCCUAGCGUUGUCCGGAAUUAUUGGGCGUAAAGGGCGCGUAGGCGGCCUGGCAAGUGGAAGGUGAAAUCCCUCGGCUUAACCGAGGAACUGCCCUCCAAACUGCUUGGCUUGAGUCCGGGAGAGGUGAGUGGAAUUCCCAGUGUAGCGGUGAAAUGCGUAGAUAUUGGGAGGAACACCAGUGGCGAAGGCGGCUCACUGGACCGGAACUGACGCUGAGGCGCGAAAGCGUGGGGAGCAAACAGG